GACGAACGCUGGCGGUGUGCUUAACACAUGCAAGUCGAACGGUAAGGCCCUUUCGGGGGUCCACGAGUGGCGAACGGGUGAGUAACACGUGAGUAACCUGCCCUCAUCUCUGGGAUAACAGUCGGAAACGGUUGCUAAUACUAGAUAUGAGCUUGCAAGGCAUCUUGUGGGUUGGAAAGAUUUUUUUGGUUGGGGAUGGACUCGCGGCCUAUCAGCUUGUUGGUGAGGUAGUGGCCCACCAAGGCUUCGACGGGUAGCCGGCCUGAGAGGGCGACCGGCCACAUUGGGACUGAGAUACGGCCCAAACUCCUACGGGAGGCAGCAGUGGGGAAUAUUGCACAAUGGACGGAAGUCUGAUGCAGCAACGCCGCGUGCGGGAUGACGGCCUUCGGGUUGUAAACCGCUUUCAAUUGUGACGAAGCUUUUUGUGACGGUAGCAGUAGAAGAAGCACCGGCUAACUACGUG
rnacentral:rRNA from 1 species